UCUGUAAAGAAAGGAAUGGAACAUAAAAGUAUAUUUUUUAUAAAAAAAAGUAAAUAACUCUCAGACUUAUUUAUGGAUGGGGUUUAAGACAAUCUGGACCCCAAUUUAAGUCCAGGCCUGGGUGUAUGUGACUAGUACGGUGGCCAUCAUAAUAUUUAAACAUAACUAACUAGUAACAAAUCAUUCAGAAGACUACACAAGUGACAGCAUGACAUAAUUACUCUUUCUAAGUAAAAUGUUUAUAACAUAGUAAUAAUCUACACAAAGCAGUAUAAAUAUCAUAAUUUAUAUUGAUAAUGAUUUAUAUAUGUUCAUUCAUAAGACUAUUAGUUAUACCUGGUCAUGUACAUACAGAUUCCUUAUAAUAGAUUAUGACGGUCAGAUAGUAAAACAGACUAAUGUAUUAUUUGUAUUUAUUUUCAAACAAAUAUUUUAGAAUAGAUGAUAAUUAUUUGUUGUUGAUAAUACUCCAAUAAGAAUAGUACCGCAGUCUUUUCUGAACCAUCUACCCCACCCACCAGAACUAAGUGUCCAGGUAAACAGUCAAGCGAUUUAUAGCUCAAAUAACAAAUGACAUUCAAAUGAUAUCACAAUAAUGUAAUGUAAACUCAUUAAAAUGACAAAUCUAAUAUAAAUAAAUAAAUUAUAACAAACCUGGAACGAUAAUUAGUCCGUAUUUAUCGCUGUUAUUACAGUUCGUUAUAACCCGGAAAUAAACCGGAAGUAAGCCUGCCGCAAAGUGGAGAAUGUUUGUCGAAAUAAUGCGCCAAAUAAACUGAAGUGUUGUUUCGUUUAUUAAAGCCGGCCUAAAUGAGCUAACAAAGAAAUCAUCAGUCCACAAAAGAAUCAACCAGGGAAGGAGAAAAACAUUUAAAGCUGCAAUUGCCAAAUCCAUCACCGGCCUAAAGGAGCUAACAAAGAAAUCAUUAGUCCACAAAAGAAUCAACCAGUGAAGGAGAAAAACAUUCAAAGCUGUAAAUUGCCAAAUCAAUCAGUUGGAAGAUGGAUGUCAAAGUCUCAGACAAAAGCUUCCAGAGUUAAGGAAAGAACACUUCAACAAAAACAAGCACGAGAAGAAUGACUGCAAAAAACCUUUUCGCAGAUUCGUUUCCUCAUCAAGUGUAUUGAAGGAAAACGGACCUGUCUACAGAGA